rnacentral:rRNA from 1 species
AUUGAACGCUGGCGGCAGGCCUAACACAUGCAAGUCGAACGGUAACAGGAAGAAGCUUGCUUCUUUGCUGACGAGUGGCGGACGGGUGAGUAAUGUCUGGGAAACUGCCUGAUGGAGGGGGAUAACUACUGGAAACGGUAGCUAAUACCGCAUAACGUCGCAAGACCAAAGAGGGGGACCUUCGGGCCUCUUGCCAUCGGAUGUGCCCAGAUGGGAUUAGCUAGUAGGUGGGGUAACGGCUCACCUAGGCGACGAUCCCUAGCUGGUCUGAGAGGAGGACCAGCCACACUGGAACUGAGAGACGGUCCAGACUCCUACGGGAGGCAGCAGUGGGGAAUAUUGCACAAUGGGCGCAAGCCUGAUGCAGCCAUGCCGCGUGGAUGAAGAAGGCCUUCGGGUUGUAAAGUACUUUCAGCGGGGAGGAAGGGAGUAAAGUUAAUACCUUUACUCAUUGACGUUACCCGCAGAAGAAGCACCGGCUAACUCCGU